rnacentral:rRNA from 1 species
UAGCGGCGCGCUUAAUGCAUGCAAGUCGAGCGAUGAGGCCCUCUUCGGGGGGUACAUCAGCGGCAGACGGGUGAGUAACACGUAGGUGAUCUACCCCAGAGACGGGGAUAACGGGUGGAAACAUCCGCUAAUACCGGAUAGGCUUGUUCGGUCAAAGGGACAAGGAAAGGCUCCGGCGCUCUGGGAGGAGCCUGCGGCCCAUCAGCUAGUUGGCGGGGUAACGGCCCACCAAGGCAAAGACGGGUAGGGGGUGUGAGAGCAUGGCCCCCCACAAUGGGACUGGAACACGGCCCAUACUCCUACGGGAGGCAGCAGCAGGGAAUAUUGCACAAUGGACGGAAGUCUGAUGCAGCGACGCCGCGUGGAUGAAGAAGGCCCUCGGGUUGUAAAAUCCUUUACAGGGGGAAGAGGAAGGACGGUACCCCUGGAACAAGUGUCGGCUAACUACGUGCCAGCAGCCGCGGUAAGACGUAGGACACAAGCGUUAUCCGGAUUUACUGGGCGUAAAGCGUCUGCAGGCGGACAGGUAAGUUGGGCGUGAAAGCUCCGGGCCCAACCCGGAGAGGUCGUUCAAUACUGCGUGUCUAGAGGGUGUCAGAGGGGAGUGGAAUUUCCGGAGUGGCGGUAAAAUGCGCAGAGAUCGGAAAGAACACCAAUGGCGAAGGCAGCUCCCUGGGGCAACCCUGACGCUAAGAGACGAAAGCUAGGGGAGCGAACAGGAUUAGAGACCCUGGUAGUCCUAGCCCUAAACGAUGGAUGCUGGAUGUGGGGCCAUAGCGCUCCGUGUCGAAGCGAACGCGUUAAGCAUCCCGCCUGGGGACUACGGCCGCAAGGUUAAAACUCAAACGAAUUGACGGGACCCCGCACAAGCAUCGGAGCGUUGUGGUUUAAUUCGAUGCUACACGAAGAACCUUACCUGGGUUUGACAUCUAGGUGGUAGUGAAGCGAAAGCGGAGCGACCCUUCGGGGAGCUUAGACAGGUGCUGCAUGGCUGUCGUCAGCUCGUGCCGUGAGGUGUCGGGUUAAGUCCCGUAACGAGCGCAACCCUUGCCCUCCGUUAUACGUGUCAGAGGGGACUGCCGUCGGUAAGCCGGAGGAAGGUGGGGAUGACGUCAAGUCAGCAUGGCCUUUAUAUCCAGGGCUACACACACGCUACA